rnacentral:rRNA from 1 species
AUAUUUUAUAUAUUAUAUUAUUUUUUGUUUAUUAAGAUUUUUAAUAGAAAUAAUUUUAUAUUUUUUUGUCUAAGUAUAUUUUGUAGAAUUGAUUUUUUAUAUUAUAGUUUAUUAGUAAUGUAAUUGGAUUAUGAAAUAUUAUGUAGAUUUUUAAAAGUAAAUUUUAUUUAUUGUACCUUUUGUAUCAGGGUUUAUUAAUUUUUUUGUAUUUAUUUACUAUUCUCGAAUUAGUUUGAUUUACAAAUAAUUCUUAUUUAAUGUUUCAAAAUUAUUAAGGAAUUAUUUGUGGAAAUGAAAUGUUAUUCGUUUACUAAGGUAUCUAGUUUCUUAAGAAAAAAUUUAAUUUUUUAUAGUUUAUUUGUUUAUAUUUAAUUUUUUAAUUAUAAAUAUUAACUUAUUUAUUUUUUAGGGGAUAAGCUCUGAAAAUUAUAUUCUAUAAUUUAUAAAUUAAAAAUAAAAUAGUAGGCUUUAAAACAGCUAUCUCUAAGAUUACGUUUUAGUUUAUUGUUGUUUAAUUUGAUUUUAUAAUUAUUUUAGGUUUUAUAUUAAGAUGAUGAAUUUAAUUUUGAAAUUUUUGUAAUAAUGAUGGAAUUAGUAUAUUUAUUUUGUUUAUAAUAAUUAAUUUUGUUAAUUUAUUAUAAGGAAUUAGGCAAAGUUUAUAAUUUCCGCCUGUUUAUCAAAAACAUGUCCUCUUGAUUAUAUUUUGAGGUCUGGCCUGCUCACUGGCAAGAUUUUGAAGAGCCGCGGUAUUUUGACCGUGCAAAGGUAGCAUAAUCAUUAGUCUCUUAAUUAGAGGCUGGAAUGAAUGGCUUGACGAGAAAUUAACUGUCUCUUAAUAAUAUAUAAAAUUUAACUUUUAAGUUAAAAGGCUUAAAUUUUUCUUUAAGACGAGAAGACCCUAUAGAGCUUUACAUUUUACUUAUAUAUAAUUUUUAGUUUAUCUUUUUAUAUUUAAUGAUAAUGUUUUGUUGGGGUGACAUAAAGAAUAAAUAAACUCUUUAUUAUAAAAUCAUUAAUUUAUGUUUAUUUUGAUCCAUAAUUUAUGAUCAUAAAAUUAAGUUACCUUAGGGAUAACAGCGUAAUUGUUUUUGAGAGCUCAUAUCGACAAAGCAGAUUGCGACCUCGAUGUUGGAUUAAGAUAAAUUCUAGGUGCAGGAGCCUGGUAAUUAGGUCUGUUCGACCUUUAAAUUCUUACAUGAUCUGAGUUCAGACCGGCGUAAGCCAGGUCGGUUUCUAUCUUAAGAAAUAUUGUCCAUAUUAGUACGAAAGGACCAUAUGGACAAAAUAUUUUUUUAUUAUUGAUUUAAAUUAAUUAUGA